GUUUCCACAAGGCCAUAACAGAGAAAAUGCAGAUAAACAAAGUACUGGUGAGAGUCCCAGGAAUCUAAACAACCCAGUGAAGGCUUCGAGGAGCCAUCAGGAGCUGCACAGAGAGCUGCUUAUGGCCCACAGGAAUAUGCCUGGUUGUGUUUUGUGUUUGACUCUUUCGGGGAGGGCAGGGGUCUGGCAGUGUGCUGUAAACCCGAGCUGCAGAUGGUUCUGGAGAGGAGGAAGAAGGAGCAGACCCAGAGAGAGGAGGGGGAACAGUGCAGGAGCCCAUUGGAGCAGGUUCUCCUCCAACGACAACAGAAGCAGCAGGAGGUGACG